GGAGAUCCGGCUAGAGGGGCGGCUCCGACGUCUCCUUCCUUCCUGGUUCCUGCAGUAGCUGCUGCUACUGCUCAGAUCCGCGAGGAGGGAGCCGGCCACUCAGACAGUGACUCAGAGGCAGAGCGGUGCGCGGGUCAAGGAGCACUGGCGUCCAUGGGCCUGGGGGCCCCUUCAGGACAAGACAUCUGUCCCCCUCCACGCUGCCCGACUUCCUCAGCGGGGAGUGGCCUCUCCCUUCUCCAUGGACUUCCAAGAGAGGGCUCCUCCCUCCUUGGCCGAGAGCACCCAGUCCUCAAAGUCCAGCAGUGCCCAGCAGGUCUGAGGAGGGGAAAGCAGGCGAUGGGUGGGCCACGCUUGGGCCCCGGGGGAGGGGGCAGUGAUGGCCGCCUCACCAGCUACGGCCCUCCCUCUCCGUCCUGGACUGCAGGCCUCGGAGUUGUGGGAGGUGGUGGAGGAGCCUCGGGGCAGGCUGGGGCCAGAAGGUAUCAUGCCCGAGAGGCAGGAAGGCCACCUGCUCAAGAAGAGGAAGUGGCCUCUGAAGGGCUGGCACAAGGUGAGGUGGGCAGGGCGAGGGGAGGAGCCAGAGGCGGGCACGGGGUAGGAAUGGACAGGGCGCUGCUGGGCAGCACGGGCUUGCCUGGGGAGAAGGAGAAGAAACGUCUCUGUGUGCGGUUGCUCUCUUCCCCGCCCUGCUUCCUUGGCCUCCCCGGCUCAUGAUCCUCCUGGGCAAUGCCACAGAGGUACUUUGUGCUAGAGGACGGAAUUCUUCACUACGCGACUUCUCGGCAAGAUGUGAGUCAGGGGGCCGUGGGGGCGGCGCCUGGGUGAGUGCAUGCUGGAGGGGCGCGAGGCACAUUUGCUGGGGG
rnacentral:lncRNA from 1 species